rnacentral:rRNA from 1 species
GGCGCAGGGCGGGGGAGAAGCAGGGAUAAUACUGGGUGGUCGGGCGUGGGUCGGAAUGAGAGGGUGAAAAUGUCUCGGAGGCGGACAGUUUAGUCAGAGGUGAAAGCCCAGGGCUCAACCUUGGAAUGGCCUUUGAUACUGACGUGCUUGAGUUCGGGAGAGGUGAGGGGAAUGCCGAGUGUAGAGGGGAAAUUCGUAGAUAUUCUGCGGAACACCAGUGGCGAAGGCGACGCACUGGCCCGAUACUGACGCUGAGGCGCGAAAGCGUGGGGAGCAAACAGGAUUAGAUACCCCAGAGUC